rnacentral:rRNA from 1 species
GUGGGGAAUUUUGGACAAUGGGCGCAAGCCUGAUCCAGCAAUGCCGCGUGCAGGAAGAAGGCCUUCGGGUUGUAAACUGCUUUUGUACGGAACGAAACGGUCCUGGUUAAUACCUGGGGCUAAUGACGGUACCGUAAGAAUAAGCACCGGCUAACUACGUGCCAGCAGCCGCGGUAAUACGUAGGGUGCAAGCGUUAAUCGGAAUUACUGGGCGUAAAGCGUGCGCAGGCGGUUUUGUAAGACAGGCGUGAAAGCCCCGGGCUCAACCUGGGAAUUGCGCUUGUGACUGCAAGGCUGGAGUGCGGCAGAGGGGGAUGGAAUUCCGCGUGUAGCAGUGAAAUGCGUAGAUAUGCGGAGGAACACCGAUGGCGAAGGCAAUCCCCUGGGCCUGCACUGACGCUCAUGCACGAAAGCGUGGGGAGCAAACAGGAUUAGAAACCCUGGUAGUCC